GCCGUCCUUGGGUCGUACUCUCCUGCCAGUCACCGCGCAACCUCGGGUUGGUAGAAGCUUCUUCUUCUGACUGAGAGCUAUGGUCCCUGCUGGUGUGCAUCUCCACAUCAGACAUAAUCUGCCCAUCCUCUUGUGGGGAAGGGCUGCCGCAGUGAGAACUGGCUCUUGAACUACUCUGUCCUGAUUCAUGCUGUGCAUCCAAAAGAAUCUUCUCCAUGUCUCCAUUGUGGAUAGAGGAUGAAGAAGACGAAGGCAGGGAUGGUCUUUCUCCAUCUUCAGCCUCUCCUGAAAACUAGGGAAGACUCCAUGAUUCAGAGCACAGAAGGGGUGUCGGUUUCCAGUUGGCUGGUUCUUGAGGAAACAAAUGAAAACAAGAAGCUUUUGCACACGAGGUGGUGCUGCUGCUCUGUAGCAAGAACAGGGCAUCACUAAGAGGAAGGUAAGAGAUUCUUAUUAUAUUUUGGCUUGUGCUGAAAAGCUAGGUUUUUAGACUUUACCGUCUU
rnacentral:lncRNA from 1 species